CGGAGUAAUGUGGACGAGCGUGGCACUUGUGUCUUGCAGUCAGUCUUACUAGUGGAGCCGAGCUGGGCUUAGCGGUACCCGGUAACGUUGUCCGGUACACAAAGAGGUGGGAAGCUUUUUGAUUCAACGUCAGAUAACAUUUGGUCCAAAUCGCCAAAGGCCCAAUCGGAGAAGCUUGUUUUCUUAAUCAGAUCGGCUUGUUUCUCCACCACCAUCUUUGGGACGGAUAAGUAUCUCUCUCUCUCUCUCCCUCCCUCUCCUCUCCUCUCGCAGUUGCAGAAAAUUGCUCCGCAGCCCAGUACGCAAUUGGUGCACUGUGAGCGACCAUCAUAAAUCUGGAGGAUUUUCAGCGUCCGCGGGGUUGCUUAUGAAUUUGUUUAGGCAGGCUCUUUUAAGGAGUUGAGUAUCCAGGUUGGAGAAAUUGAUAAAAUGGCACAAAAAUGUGUUUUAUUUUUAUUGUGGCUUUCAGGCAGAUCACUCGCGGGAUUUCCCAAUCAGAUUAAUAUAGGUGGUCUGUUCAUGCGGUCCACAGUGCAGGAGCACAGUGCGUUUAGGUUCGCUGUUCAGCUCUACAACACCAACCAGAACACUACGGAGAAACCCUUCCAUCUCAACUACAACGUAGACAACCUCGAGUCGUCCAACAGCUUCUCAGUCACCCAUGCAUUCUGCUCUCAGUUCUCCCGAGGGGUCUAUGCCAUCUUCGGCUUCUACGAUAAAAAGUCAAUGAACACCCUGACGUCAUUCUGUGGGGCGCUCCACACCUCCUUCGUCACGCCCAGUUACCCCACCGACAACGAAGUGCAGUUUGUCAUCCAGAUGAGACCUGCACUGCGUGGGGCCGUCCUCAGCCUGCUGUCACACUACAAGUGGCAGAAAUUUGUAUACCUCUACGACACUGACAGAGGUUUCUCUAUCCUUCAGGCCAUCAUGGAGUCAGCAGUGACCAACAAUUGGCAGGUGACGGCUCGGUCUGUGGGGAGCAUCACGGACGCAGCAGAGUUCAAACGGAUCAUCGAGGAGAUGGACAGGAGGCAGGAGAAACGCUACGUCAUCGACUGUGAGGUGGACAGGAUCAACACUAUCCUAGAACAGGUGGUCUCUCUGGGGAAGAACACCCGUGGAUACCACUACAUCCUGUCUAACCUGGGUUUCUCCAAUGUGAGCUUGGACAAGGUCUUCCAAGGCGGGGCCAACAUAUCAGGCUUCCAGAUAGUGAGCCCUGAGAACCCCAUCGUUCAGCAGUUCCUACAGCGCUGGGUGAGACUGGAUGAAAGGGAAUUCCCGGAGGCCAAGAACACCCCGCUCAAGUACACGUCAGCUCUGACCCACGAUGCCAUCCUGGUGAUCGUGGAGGCGUUCCGGUACCUGCGGCGCCAACGGGUAGACGUGUCACGCCGAGGCGGUGCAGGAGACUGUCUGGCCAACCCUGCCGUACCAUGGAGCCAGGGCAUCGACAUCGAGAGAGCUCUCAAAAUGGUCCAGGUCCAGGGGAUGACGGGGAACAUCCAGUUUGACAGCUAUGGCCAGAGGUCCAACUACACUAUAGACGUCUAUGAGAUGAGAACAGGGGGGCCCAAAAAGAUUGGCUACUGGAACGAGUACCAGCGAUUAGUAAAUGUGUUAGAACAACAGGUGGUCGCCAACGAGUCUUCUUCUGUGGAAAACCGAACGAUUGUGGUCACUACUAUUAUGGAAGCCCCUUAUGUGAUGUACAAGAAACACCAGAUGAAUCUGGAGGGGAAUGACAGAUAUGAAGGCUACUGUGUCGAUUUAGCUGCCGAAAUUGCUAAACAUGUGGGGAUAAGAUACAAACUGUCAGUAGUAGCAGACGGGAAGUAUGGUGCGCGGGAUCCAGACACCAAGACGUGGAACGGGAUGGUGGGGGAACUGGUGUAUGGGAGAGCAGAUAUAGCUGUGGCACCUCUCACCAUAACCCUGGUUCGUGAGGAAGUGAUCGACUUCUCCAAGCCCUUCAUGUCUCUGGGCAUCUCCAUCAUGAUCAAGAAGCCCCAGAAGUCUAAACCCGGGGUGUUCUCCUUCCUGGACCCGCUGGCCUAUGAGAUAUGGAUGUGUAUCGUGUUCGCCUACAUCGGUGUCAGCGUGGUCCUGUUCCUGGUCAGCCGUUUCAGCCCUUAUGAGUGGAACCUGGAUGAACAGGAUGAGACCAAAGACCCCCAGACACCUCCAGAUCCUCCCAACGACUUUGGCAUCUUCAACUCUCUGUGGUUCUCUCUGGGAGCCUUCAUGCAGCAAGGAUGUGAGAUAUCACCCAGGUCCCUAUCAGGGAGAAUAGUAGGGGGCGUGUGGUGGUUUUUCACUCUCAUCAUCAUCUCCUCCUACACGGCCAACCUGGCUGCUUUCCUCACAGUGGAGAGGAUGGUCUCCCCCAUAGAGAGUGCUGAGGACCUGGCUAAACAGACUGAGAUCGCCUACGGAACUCUGGAUGCUGGUUCCACCAAAGAGUUCUUCAGGCGAUCCAAAAUAGCAGUCUAUGAGAAAAUGUGGUCAUACAUGAAAUCGGCCGAACCGUCAGUGUUUGUCAAGACCACGCCAGACGGGGUGGCCCGUGUACGAAAGUCGAAGGGCAAGUUUGCUUUCCUCCUGGAGUCCACCAUGAACGAGUACAUAGAGCAGAGGAAACCCUGCGACACCAUGAAAGUGGGCGGAAACCUCGACUCAAAAGGAUAUGGUGUGGCCACACCCAAAGGCUCAGCAUUAAGAAAUGCUGUUAACCUGGCAGUGUUAAAACUGAAUGAGCAAGGCCUGUUGGACAAAUUGAAAAACAAAUGGUGGUACGACAAGGGCGAGUGCGGCAGCGGGGGAGGUGACUCCAAGAACUCCUGUAAACCUUGCCGUAUUGAAACUCAGUGAACAAGGCAUCUUAGACAAGCUGAAAAACAAAUGGUGGUACGAUAAGGGUGAAUGUGGAACCAAGGACUCUGGAAGUAAGGUCAGUCUCCGCUGGUCUUUUGUGUUGAUUCCCAGUUGCAUUGUGACGUACUGUUCAUAUGCAAAGAAAUGCUAAACUAUCCUGAAACAUUUAGAUUAGCUAUACUCUAUAUCCCCCUAUCCCUUAUUUUAUUAUUUUAUUAUACCCCCCCAAAUUAUAAUAAUUCUGCCACAUACAUUUAACAAAAAUAAAAAAGUGGUUCAAGUCCUUCAUGCAUGAUUUCCCAAAUUCAAAUCAUGUCUGAAAAAUACGUUGUCUUUUUUUGGCCGAUAUAGAAAUAGGUACUGCUUUUUUCUUCACAAACUGUAAUGGUAAAUGACCUUAUGCUUGGUGAAAUGGUACAUGUGUAAAAUAAUCAAACACCAUCAUUGAAUAGUUGUUGACUAGCUGUUGACAUUAAGUGCUAUUUUUGCUCAUUUUUAUGCUUGACAUUCGUGAUAUUCUUACCAUUAUGCUGUUGUUUCUAUUUACUAAACUUUUAAUUAAAAUGUGCUUUAUCUGUGUUGUUACUAUUUUGCUUGGAAAUUUAUUUAUUGGGUUCUUUAACUUCCUGUGGUGGGGUAAACAAACAAAGUGUUGAUGUUGUGAUCAACUGCUUCCAUGUAACUUCAGGAAGACAUUGCAACACCGUGGGGUCUUUGUCUGAACAAGGAGUUGCAAUGAAGAGAUCUUGUUGUUUUCACCCCACAUGAAGUCUAAGAAUGUAAUAAGCCUCUAUUUAACCCUCUGAGACCAUAGCCAGGCCAAUAAACUAACAGAUCAGUGUCCUUACCCUCGUCGGCUUAGCUACAUAUUACCACAGCUAUAAUCUCAGUCAAAGCUCAAAGGGUUAAACUGCAAAUGGUAAAGCUCUCAUGAACAAAUUUUCUAUAAACAUGUUUGGGAAGUAAGCAGCAGCAAAAUGGUUUGAUUCCUUAAAAAUGGCUUAAAAUAAUUAUAAUUACGUCAGAGAGAUUUGACAACAACAGUAUCAAAGUGUACCAAAAAAAGAAAAAUUCAGGACAGGUCUUGAAAUUUUGACCUGUGAGUUACUGACCGCAGCUUCCUUAUAUGGAAGAAGACCUGUAGAAUAGGGGAAGCUCUACAUUCACCUAGAUCAAACUAAAGAGGUGACUCGUCUCUCCUUCAUUGGAGAGUGGUCUGACUAUGGUGUUCAGAUGUUCCUCAAAACUUCUUGGACCACUAUAGGAAAGCCAGUCCAAUCUAGACUUUUUCUAGACUCAACCUCAGCCAUCCUUUACUAUAUCAGCCUUCUGUUGCUGUUAGCCUCUGGAGUCUGUAGUAUGAUCUGCCAUUGGAAGCAUCAGAAACAUUUCUGUCUCAGAGAAACAGUUUGUAGGAAGGUCUGAUAAUAGAGUAUCCAUGUGAAUUCUGAGUGUUAGGUCUCUGACUGUUAUUUCAACAAGACUCUGUAAGGAUCAGUUUGAGGCCUAUAUACUCUGCUUUAGUGUUGUACUGGUAGGCUACACUGUUCUCUACAGAACUCUCUCUCCACCGCAAACCCUCUAACUAUGUUCUUCACCUUCCCCAGGACAAGACAAGUGCUCUCAGCCUGAGCAAUGUGGCUGGAGUCUUCUAUAUUCUGGUUGGAGGGCUGGGGCUGGCCAUGAUGGUGGCACUGAUUGAGUUCUGUUACAAGUCACGUGCAGAAACCAAACGGCUCAAACUAGCAAAAAAUGCUGAGAAAUUUAAGCCAGCUCCCCCGACCAACCCCCAGAACUUUGCCACAUACAGAGAAGGUUACAACGUGUAUGGGACAGAGAGCGUUAAGAUCUAAGGGUAUCGGGCGCUUCAGUUAGACCAGGUACACGAUCCCUUACGAACGACUGUGACUAUUGACCCUAUGAUGAAACGACAUGAUCACGUCAGGAUGGGGGUUUCCUCAACUGCAGCUAAAUCCUCUCCUGGCGGCAAUGGCGACGAUAAUCUGCAAUGGCGACACGACAGGACUGGUGACGUGAAGAACUCAAGCGGUUUCCUGCAGUGCCUUACGUAUGGAACAGUCACAGAGUUACUUAGAACAAUGCAACUCAUAACAACGGCAUUGCAUUUGGCUUGAACUCACAGACAAAUAAACAGAAAGACAGGAUCGAUACUGUAAUCUGUUUUAAGGAACUUUAUUUGAGAUGCUAAAGACAAAAGAGAGAUACCUAAAGCCAUCACUUGCACCCAGAGCACAUUUCCAAGUGCCGGACAGAAGAUGAAUACGAUAUGACAGAUGAUAAAUUGUUUUUUCUGCAAAGGGAAUUUGAUCAGAUUAUCCUAAUUCUUCUUGCAGGCUAGGUUUUUACUGGUUAAAUGUGUUUUAAAAUACGUUUAUUAUAGACACUGAUUAUUAGAAGAUUGCUUGUUAUAUUCUUGUGACCUUGAAAUUGUUUUGAAAGACACAUUUGAAUCUUAUUGGAAUCAAUUGGUUAAAUAUGCCAUAGCCAAAAGAAACUGUAUUGUUGUUGUCCUCAACUAUGGUGCUUUUGAAGUGUCAGAGAUAGACUCUGAGAGAAAGCGUUGGUAGCUAGUCAAAUGUGCAUCCCAAAUGGAACCCUAUUACCUAUAUAGUGCAUUACUUCUGUGCAGAGCCCCCGGUCAAAAGUAGUGCACUAUAUAUUGAAUAGGGGGCCAUUCUGGACAUACACACAGGAACUCAUGAAAGAGAUGAAUGUGAGAUGCAGCAUUUGGCUUUACACAACUUAAAACAGGCCAUCUCACAAUCCCAAUAUACUUCCAACAGAUUCAGAUGUGUUUUUUUAAAGAAUGCAGAGGACUGUCUGAGCAAGUUUCAUAGUUCAGUAACUCUCCCAGUGUGUUUUAUGGUGUGUAUAAUAUGAAGAGAGAACUCACUCACACAGUGUUGCUCCAAAAUAGGCUGUUUUUUUUGUCUUCAUUUUGAAAGAACACCUGCUUAUAGCUGGGUUUUCAUGUAACCUAAAAUCAUUCAAAUCUUCUGUACAAUAAAUUUAAACCGAACCAAAAGGGACAUUCAAAAAGUAGAUAAACUGCAAUCCAAACAGUAAUGGCUUUUUAAUGGUAGUAUUAUGGAUGACCUUGGUAUUUUGCUAAACAACUACACAUUUUAGAAUAAGCUGCGGUUUGAUCAUAUGCUUUCAAUUUUAAUUUCUUUUUAUGAACAUUGUAGUGUGUGGUGAAUUUACUUAGUAAAUUAAAUAAAUUAAUAAUAUAAAUACAACGAGAAAAUAGAUUUAUACAACGUACUUACAGGGGAUGUCUUAAAAGCUUAGCACAUUUCCUUUUCAAAAGACUGUGAUUCCAUAGGAUUUAGGAAGAACAUUAAUCACCUAAGACCGUGAAAAGAUAGAUUUACACACACAAAAAAAAGAUUUAAAAAAGGGAAGGUAAGAAAAAGGAAAUGAACAAUUCUAAAGAAAGAGAGGUGUACGUUUAUUGAAAUCAGAUGUAUUUAUUAAGGCUACACAAGAAAGGAGUGGAUGGGUUUCCCAAUUUUUCUAAGAAAUUGCAUGUUAACUCCGUAAUGACAGAUCACAAGCUCUUCUAACUUACGUCAGAUUCUACAGUAGAAAUACAACCACGGUUAUUCUUCAGUGAGACAGUUUCUUUGGUUUUGUAAGUUCACUUAACACAGAGAAAAUGGCCAAACAUCUUAGUGACUACUACAAAAGAGUCAGAAUCUGCAUGUAUGUAUAUAAUUUACUGAUCUUCGUUAGUGAGGAGCUGUACAGAGAAUUUUCAUACAUUUUGUAAAUAAACCUGUAUAGAAAAUGACAUGUGUUUGUGUGCUUGUAAUCUCAUGAACUUGUUAAACCACAUGGUGAAGUUAAUUAAAAUAAACACACAAACACACA